CAGGAGAGGCGCGCGGCCCGGUGCUGGUAGAGCACUGACCCCGAAGGGGAUUUAGCGGGAAGAGAGUGGCCGGGCUCUGGGGGUUUUGUCCGAGGGGGCCGGGAGAGGCCGAGGCACAAGAAUAAGGAGCGGCCGCGGCAUGAAAGGCGGCGAGGAGCAGCAGAGCUGCUGCUCUUGACUUCUGAGCAGGGCUUAGAGAGCCUGCCCCGGCUUAAGCCGAGCUGCUGGUGCUGGCCCUGAGCGCCAAGUCCGAGAGCUCUGAGUCCCGAGCCUCCCAGCCGUGGAGCAGUGGGAUGAGGGGGGCGUUGGGGGACAGGGUAAAGUCGAUCUUGGUUGUACAGCCACCCGAUCCUAGCGCGGAGCUGAGAGCCUGACGGCCGGUGAGAAAAAGAAUUUUCUUUUUCCAACUCCGGCUUUUGGUUUUGUGUGUCCACCUUGCGCAACUCCGGAGCCUGCCGACCCCACAUGGAUUCUCAACAGGUGGCCGGCACAUCUUCUGAGCCUCCCUCUCUCAUCUGAAAGUGGAAUGUAAGUCCGAGAAGAUUCAUUUAGACAAAGAAGGUGGAAGAAAAGGACUUUCUGGGCCAGCAACUCGGAUGACCACCCUCCAAGGGGCAGAGGAGGGUCCACUUUGUGAAGAAGAAAUGAACCACCCGGAAAACACCACAAGAGGACAUGUUUCUGCAGAUGUAGUUGUCCUAGAAACAGAAGAGUAUGGGGGUGUGAAUUUCUUCUCUUUUGGGGGCAAACACUAUGUCCUUCUCUUUUUCUAGAUAGUUAAUUCCUGGACAUUUUAGCGAGUUUGUUCCUGUGGAUAUUUUGAACAAUAAAGAGUGAAAAUCA